AGCGAACGCUGGCGGCAGGCCUAACACAUGCAAGUCGAACGAAGUCUUCGGACUUAGUGGCGGACGGGUGAGUAACACGUGGGAACGUACCUUUUGGUUCGGAACAACUCAGGGAAACUUGAGCUAAUACCGGAUGAGCCCUUAGGGGGAAAGAUUUAUCGCCGAAAGAGCGGCCCGCGUUAGAUUAGCUAGUUGGUGAGGUAAAGGCUCACCAAGGCUACGAUCUAUAGCUGGUCUGAGAGGAUGAUCAGCCACACUGGGACUGAGACACGGCCAAGACUCCUACGGGAGGCGGCAGUGGGGAAUCUUGCGCAAUGGGCGAAAGCCUGACGCAGCCAUGCCGCGUGAAUGAUGAAGGUCUUAGGAUUGUAAAAUUCUUUUACCAGGGACGAUAAUGACGGUACCUGGAGAAAAAGCCCCGGCUAACUUCGUGCCAGCCGCCGCCGUAAUAC
rnacentral:rRNA from 1 species